GACAGAGGGUGCAAGCGUUAUCCGGAUUCACUGGGUUUAAAGGGUGCGUAGGUGGGUCUGUAAGUCCGUGGUGAAAUCUCCGAGCUUAACUUGGAAACUGCCAUGGAUACUAUAGGUCUUGAAUACUGUGGAGGUCAGCGGAAUAUGUCAUGUAGCGGUGAAAUGCUUAGAUAUGACAUAGAACACCAAUUGCGAAGGCAGCUGGCUACACAAAUAUUGACACUGAGGCACGAAAGCGUGGGGAUCAAACAGG
rnacentral:rRNA from 1 species